UUUUUUUUUUUUUUUCACUUUUUUAGGGUAGCACUCGUGGCACAUGGAGGUUCCGAGGCUAGGGGUCUAAUCAGAGCUACAGCUGCCGGCCUACACCACAGCCACAGUAACGCCGGAUCCUUAACCCACUGAGCGAGGUCAGGGAUCGAACACGCAACCUCACGGUUCCUGCACCACUACAGGAAGUCCACAUUUCCUCUUUGGUAAACAUCAGUUUGAUUUCAAAAUCUUUGAGUCUAUUUCUGUUUUAUAAGAUCUCUUGUAUCACUUUUAUUAGAUUCCACAUAUUAGUGAUCUCAUAUGAUCUUUCUCUCUCUCUGAUUUAUUUCGCUUAGAAUGGCAAUUUGCAGGUCCAUGGUGUUGCUGCAACUGGCAUUAUUUCAUAAAGUUGCAGGAUACAAUAUUAACACACAGAAAUCUCUUGUAUUUCUAUACACUAACAAUGAAAGAUCAGAAAGAGAAACUAAGGAAACAAUCCCAUUUACCACCACAUCAAAAAGAAUAAAAUACCUAGGAAUUAAACCUACCUAAAAGGAGGUAAAAGACCUGUACUCUAAAGACUAUAAGACACAAAUGAAAGAAACUGAACAGGACACAAACAGAGGGAAAGAUACACCAUGCUUUUGGAUUGGAAGAAUCAAUAUUGCCAAAAUGACUAUAGCACCCAAGGCAAUCUACAGAUUCAAUGCAAUACCUAUCAAAUUACCAAUGGCAUUUUUCACAGAACUAGAACAAAGUAUUUUUAAAUUUGUAAUGGAAACACAAAAGACUCCAAAUAGCCGACACAAUCUUAAGGAACGGAGCUGGAAGAAUCAAGCUCCCUGACUUCAGAUCAUACUACAAAGCUACAGUAAUCAAAAGAGUAUGGUACUUGCACAAGAAACAGAAAUAUAGAUCAGUGAGACUAAAUAGAAAGCCCAGAAAUAAACCUACACACAUAUGGUCAAUUAAUCUACAAUAAAGUAGGCAACAAUAUACAACGGAGAAAAGACAGUCUCUUCAAAAAGUGGUGCUGGGGAAACUGGACAGCUACAUGUAAAAGAAUGAAAUUAGAACUCUCUCUAACACCAUACACAAAAAUAAACUCAAAAUGCAUUAAAGACCUAAAUGUAAGAUCAGAUACCAUAAAACUCCUAAAGGAAAACAUAGGCAGAACACCCUUUGACAUAAAUUGCAGCAAUAUUUUUUUGAUCCACCUCCUAGAGUAAUGAAAAUAUGUUUCUUUCUUUCUAAAAUAAUAUAUGCAUUGAGUUGCAAAUUUGGAAAACUAUGGAUAAUCAAAUGAAAGGGAGUAAAGAUCACCCAGAAGGUCAUCAUCCUAAUACAUCUCUUUCUUUCUUCUCUGCAUUUGCUUUUCAUUUCUACAGAAUUGAAAUUUUGCUGUUCCUGGAAAAAAAGGGGGUGUAAAAGUCUUUUAUUCCAUUCCAGUCACACUGGCUGCCUGAGAUUCUCCAAAUACCUAAGGCAUGUUUGUACCCCAUGGCCUUUGUACUUGCUGUUCUCUCUUUAUAGAAUGUUCUUCCUCUGGAUACUCUGAUGACUACCUCCCUCACCCUCUUCAGUUCACUGCGCAAAUGUCACCUCCUCCAGGAAGACUUCCUGACCACACAGGCUGAAAUAAUUGCUUGUCUUUGUCAUUCUUCUAUUCCCUUGCUCUGCUUUCUUCUCCUUCAAUGCACUGCACUACCUAAUGUCUGUAUUAUAAAGUUGUUUACUAUGGGUGCUCCCUACUGCUGUUUAAACUCUCAGAAGACAGCUUGUGUGGUCAGAAAGUCUUCGUGGAGGAGGUGACAUCUGAGCAGUGAACUGAAGAAGGUGAGGAAGCUACUCAUCAGAGAAUCUGGAGGAAGAACAUUGUUUUAUUCACACUGAAUUCCCACAACCUAGAACAAUGCCUGCCCAUAAAUAGGUGCUCAGUACAUAUUUGUUAAAUGAGUGAAUGGAUAUUUUUUGGUAACUUGCAUUUCUCCCCUUUAACAAUAUUGUACAGAGCCUUCAGGGUCACUAAAUAUUCUUCUGCAAACCGUUUUUAAAGACUAUAUCAUAUUCCACACUAUGGCUCUACUAUAGUGGGUUUAUCCAACCCUCUGUGGUUGACCAUUUAGUUAAGUGUUUCUCCUACCUUCACCCCACCCCCAUUUUUAAACAUAUGUAGGACAUUUUAAGUUUUAAAUGAUGUAUACACGCUGGGCAAAACUUGACCUUGAAAACUUAGUUGGAGCCUUGAGCUGAGGGAACAAGUCAUUAGCAAGCCCUUGACCAAACCGGGCAUUUAAAUUCCUCUCCUGGAAAAGGUGGAGAAGUUGAGGACACCUGCCUUACCAGCCGGAUGGGCCACUUCAGCCUUGGAGGUCAGUGACUGACAAUCAGGUCACUGUGGUUUUACACAAGUCCUCAGGGCUUACGGAAGACAAGAAAGCACCUCGAGGAUGGGGGUGUCAUGGGCUGAACGGCAUCCCCCUGAAAUUCAUAUGUUGAAGUCCUAACCCUCAGCACUUCAGAACGUAACCAUAUUUGGAGACAUGGUCUUUAAAGAGGUGAUUAAGAUGGAAAGAAGUCACGAGGGUGGGCCCGAAUCCAGGUGGACCGGUGUCCUUAUAGGAAGAGGAGAUCUGGGCACAAAAAGAAACACCAGAGAUGUACACAGAGGGAGGAGGCAGGGAGCAGGCAGGGAGAGAGGCCGCUGAAGAACCCAAACCUGCCAAAAGCAAGCUGGACCUGGAACUUCUAGCCUCUCAAACAGAAAGAAAAUAAAGUUCUGCUAGUUAAGCCACCCAGCUGGUAGUAUUUUGUUACGGCAGCUCUGGAAAUAAAAACAACAGGUAAGUGCACUGAUGUUACAGUGCCCCUGGAAAGGUAUUUGGGGCUUCCCAAUAUACUUUGCAGGGCACAUCAAAGGCCAAAAGUUUAUACGUAAAUGUGUCUGAAAUUAAAAUAGAAGGCAUUUAGGUGCAUAUGAUUCAAUAGUCAGAUAUCAACCCUGCAAUUUUUUUCUUGAGUAUUUCAUCUUUAAAAAAAAUUAAACCACAAAAAUUACAGCGUUCCCAUUGUGGCUCAGCGAAAAUGAACCUGACUAGUAUCCAUGAGGAUGCAGGUUCAAUCCCUGGCCUCACUCAGUGGGUUAAGGAUCCAGGGUGUGAUGAGCUGUGGUAUAGGCCACAACGUGGCUCAGAUCUGGCAUUUCGGUGGCUGUGGUGUAGGCCACCAGCUGUAACUCUGAUUUGACCCCUAGCCUGGGAACUUCCAUGUGCUGCUUGUGGCCCUAAAAAGAAAAAAAAAAAAAAAUUAAGUAUAGGUCUCAGAGCAAUUGAUGUGAAUUUCAAAGAACUGGUCACUUCUCCCUCCUUAAGGAUAUAUUUCCUCUAUUCUGUAUCUACCUAUUUAAAGUUUAAUUCAUCUGCCUAAUAUUAGCAAGCACGCAGCAUGGGCCAGUUCCUAGGGAAUCUAACAGAGUGAGACAGCUGCCUCCCUGCUAUCACGACACAUAAUCCAUUGAAGGAAAGAGUUAAAAACAACAAGCAAUUACAACAGGACACCUCCUACUGACAGAGGAAGGCUUCAUCUCUAAGUCAGAGACAGGCCAACUUUUUCUGUGACAGGCCACAAAGUAGACAGUUCAGUUUCAUGGGUUGCAUGGUCUCUAUCUUACCUACUCAACUCGAAAGCAGCCCUUGACACUCGGUAAACAGUGAGCAGAGCUGUGUUCCAAUAAAACCGCAUUUAUGAAAAGAGGCUGCAGGCCAGAUUUGACCCGGAGGCCAUGGUCUUCCCAGGCCUACCCUACCUUCUACACUGGACGAUGGAUUGACUGCUUUUUUCAGGCCAGCACCGACCAGCUAUGCGGCAACGUCCUGUCCAGUGAGGUGCACCUACUGAAGUUGUGGGGAGAUCCUCGGGCUUUGCAUAAAGAGAACAAGCGAUCCUGUGUGAUCUCUCUGAGACCUCUAACUGCACAGAACAUGAAAUCACAUAUUCCCCAUGGCUCUGCUGAAAAGACAAAAAUCUUGUCACCCAGGGUGAUGGUGCAGUCCCCUCCCGUCCCCCGUCUCUGCAGAACAUGGGGCCCCACCCUUUCGUACAGUUGCCACCAGCAAUGCCUGGCGGUCAUACCUAAUGCUUGGGGCUGGGCUGGGCUGGCAGCCUCCGAGUAUCACUGCCCUCCACUAGAGCUUAUGCCUGCUUCCUAUCCAAGUUUCCAGAGCCUUCACUCUCAAAACAGUCCUUCUCAGAGACCGUGGUCUGUGGCCUAAACUGCAUGUAGCCACACCCUGAGGUACAACGUCCAGGCCACAUGAAAACAUGGGUGUGCCCCGUUUCCAGAAAUUCCUCGGGAGGGCUGACCCACCUGUGUACAGAUGUGGCACAAGGCCUUCAAUCUUAUAAUUACAGGCUCUCUGAAACCCUCACAUGCUGGUAUAAAAAAGAACAAAGUUCAGAAUCACAGGGAGCUGGGUUAGGACCAUGAGUGACCUCAGGAACAUCCUUCCACAUAAAAAGCUUCCAAACUAGAAGCAAGGACAAGGUGAAGAACACAGAGGACAGAUGGCUCUUUAUAUCGUCAGCCAGUAUUUACCCACUGCUUGCAAGGAGGCGGGCCCUGUGCUAGGUGUCAGAUGAGCAAGAGAAAAAAAAUCACUGCUCUCAUGGAGAUUACAGUCUGCAUCCAGAAAAGCUUCCCAGUAGAGGAGACCCUCGAGCUGGGAGCGGGGAGGGGCUCCAUUUUGCACAAACUCACACGACCACCAAUCUCACCUCGGCCUAUGUCGGCGGCGCCCCUGGCGGUGUGAGGCGGACACGUGCAUCAGACACGGAGACCAUGACUUGGUUCUCAAAGGACCAGAUCGAGAAGGUUCCGAUGAGGAAGGAGGGCGGUCCAGGCAGAGGGAAAGCAUGUGUCUGAAGGUAUCGAGAAUCAUUUAUUUACUGCUCACGCCAUACCUGACUCUAAGCUCUUGCGGCAACUAAGAGGGGAAUUCUUGUGACCUGCAUUACACAACCACACCGCUCCUCAAUCCGAGAAUUUGAAAAAACGGUUACUGAGCACUUACUACAAUCCAGGCUCUGCCUCUGCAUCCAUGGGAAGGUGGCCGUGAGCAAAUCAGAAAGGGUGCCCAACCUCAUGAAAUUCAUGGUCCAAAGACAGGUCGAAUAAUUACAAGAAGGAUGAGCAUUUCACAAGUAAGGUGCUGGGUCUUAGGCGUGCUUGUAACUGGGAGAGCAGACCUAGUUCCAGUAGUUAAGAGACUUCUGUGAUGGGUCAGAUGUGACUGUCCUCCCACUCAUCCUGGCAUUAGGUCUCCUUGGCAAUGGGGUGGUGGUGGGGGGGUGCACUCUGUGGACAAGGACCUAUUUCUCUAAGUGACAGUAUGGGCACCAGUAUAAAAAUUGCUGUACGCUAAGGAAACAGAUUUAAAAAGAGCAGUGGUCCACGACUUCACCCCCAAACACACAAACAUAAACCAUUCCAGAGUUUGGCUUCUUCUCUUGGAAACAUCCCACAAACAGCCUCAGUAAGGAGGGGAGAAGUGGUCCAUUGAUAAACUCAGGAGCUGGAGAGAGGCUGUGACGUGCUAAUGCAAAAAUUAUGGACUGGGGCUGAUUUUUGAGGUUAGACUUCUCCGAAGAUGUCUGACAUAUGAUCCCAAACCCAGCUGAACGCACCACAUUUUAUUUAUCUGGGAAGAUUAACCUCCAAGUGCAGCAUCCCCCCCGGAGGCCUGGGGAAGACGUUCUCCAGUCAACACAAACCAGCAACAGUGGCUUGAGUUCAGAGCAAAAGCCCAAACCAGCAACAGUGGCUUGAGUUCAGAGCAAAAGCCCAAGCACCGCAGAGCUGUGCUCAAACUCCCGCACACACCAGAAAGGCCAGAAGGGUCCACACAGGUUGCGGGACCCCAGCCCUAGAGCGCCUGAAUCACAAAGUCAGGAGCGGAGGCCGAGAGUCUGCACUUCCGAUCUGUUGCAAGUUGGUGCCGACACCGCUGGACCGCAUUUUCACAACCACGCUUCCUGCACAUAUUGUGAGACUUUUCAGGAUCUGGCUCCGAGUCUCCUCAUCCACACUUCUUUCCCACUGUUGAAUUUCCCAUCAUGGGCCAGACCAGCCCAGAAAACAGGUAUUUUUCUACCGGCUCAGAACAUAAAUGAGGUCGCCUCUAAAUACGUGUUUAUUCUGUUCCCUCCAGGCUUAGUUCCUCAUCUCUGCCUCAUGAAACCCAUCACAGACCAGCAUAAAUACUGCUUUCUCCGUCAGGCUCACUCUGGUCUCUAGGCUCCAGAAUUACAUUUUUAAUUGGAUGUGGCGUUCGGCGCACUGCUCUCGGCUCUCUGUGGUUGAUGAUGAGCUCCCUAAGUGGUCCCUGGUUAUUCAGAUGUUCUGAAUAAACUUGUGUGAGGUACCAACUGGGUGCACAGGCCUGGGCCCGGGGUGGGGGCAGCAGGGGCUCAGGUUGUAAUGGCGAAAGGGGUCACCUCUGCACCUUCCAGGAGCUUAUUUUACAGGGAGAAAGACAAGUAAAUGGUCAAUUCAGAGUGACCCGUUAAAAAACUGGCAAAGAGAGCACUUGGGGAAAACACUCAAUGCGGUGUUGCCUGGUUCAGAAAAGUUCUUCCAGAAGAGAUGAUUCCUCUCUGACAUGCGACACGUGAGUG
rnacentral:lncRNA from 1 species